CGGGGGGGGCAAGCGUUGUUCGGAAUUACUGGGCGUAAAGGGCUCGUAGGCGGCCAACUAAGUCAAACGUGAAAUCCCUCGGCUUAACCGGGGAACUGCGCUUGAUACUGGAUGGCUUGAGAUUGGGAGAGGGAUGCGGAAUUCCAGGUGUAGCGGUGAAAUGCGUAGAUAUCUGGAGGAACACCGGUGGCGAAGGCGGCAUCCUGGACCAACACUGACGCUGAGUGAGCGAAAGCCAGGGGAGCAAACGGGAUUAGAUACCCCGGUAGUCCUGGCCCUAAACGAUGAAUGCUUGGUGUGGCGGGUAUCGAUCCCUGCCGUGCCGAAGCUAACGCAUUAAGCAUUCCGCCUGGGGAGUACGGUCGCAAGGCUG
rnacentral:rRNA from 1 species